rnacentral:rRNA from 1 species
UUCGGUAACGUUGCAGAAGGGGUCACACCCGUUCCCAUUCCGAAUACGGAAGUUAAGCCCUUCGUGGUCGAUGGUACUAUAGUUGCAAAGCUAUGGGAGAGUAGAAAGUUACCGGAU